rnacentral:other from 1 species
CAUAAGCUGCUUUGUACGUAUAGCUUAAUUAAGUUUUAACCUUUAAGCUGUAAUAGGGAGUUUUAUAUUAAAACAGGAAUGGCGAACCUUUGCCACGGGCAAAGGAUAUACAGGAAUGUUUUUGCAAACACCCACUUUGAGGAGUGGUGGUUUAAAACUUUCUUAUCAAAGCUACGGCAAGUGCGGCUUACAU